UACGUAGGGUGCAAGCGUUGUCCGGAAUUAUUGGGCGUAAAGAGCUCGUAGGCGGUCCGUCACGUCGGCUGUGAAAACCUGGGGCUCAACCCCGGGCCUGCAGCCGAUACGGGCGGACUAGAAUUCGGUAGGGGAGACUGGAAUUCCUGGAGUAGCGGUGAAAUGCGCAGAUAUCAGGAGGAACACCGGUGGCGAAGGCGGGUCUCUGGGCCGAUAUUGACGCUGAGGAGCGAAAGCGUGGGGAGCGAACAGG
rnacentral:rRNA from 1 species